rnacentral:rRNA from 1 species
GGGCACACCCGUUCCCAUCCCGAACACGGUAGUUAAGCUUCUCUGCGCCAAUGGUAGUUGGGGGCUUCCCCCUGCGAGAGUAGGUCGCUGCCGGGC